UAGAGAAGAAAAAUUUUUUCCAAUGAAAAAAAGAGAAGGAAGAAGAUGGGUCUUUUUUCUUGUGCGCAGUCUUGAAGAAGAAGGGGUUCUUCUUUCAAUUUUUUUUUUAUUUUUUUUUAAGAUAAAAAUCAGAUUGAAACUAAUUUUUAACAUGAAGAUUUAAAGAAAAAAUACUAAAAGAAUUUGAUUGGAUGUUCGGGGCUUCUUAGAGUUCUAGAUCAAGGAGAAAAAGAGAGAAGAAGAGAGAAGAACGGUUCUUCUCUUGGGUUUCUCUUUUGAAUUUUUCUAAGACUCAAGAUCUUAUAUGAUUUUUAGCCUAAAAGAUUAGAUUAGAUUUAAUUUUUAUCAUAAAAAAUUAAAGAAGAAAAGUUCUUCUUAAGGAUAUAAAAGGAAGAGAGAAAGGUUCUCUCUUAUGUGUGGGAGAAUUGAGAAGAAAUGGUCUUUUUCUUGAUCUCUAUUGUAUAGAUCUGAUGUAUGGAUCUAAAAAGAAAAGGAGAGGAUCUCCUUAGUCUUCAUCUUCUUUGUGAUUCCUCUGAGAUCAGCCAACGUAUGAUGUCUUCACAAGCUAGCACACCCGGAAAAAUCGAUCAGCACAAAGAUUUCGUGUGGAUACCCAUAGAGACCAG
rnacentral:lncRNA from 1 species